UACGGGGGGGGCAAGCGUUGUUCGGAAUUACUGGGCGUAAAGGGCUCGUAGGCGGCCAACUAAGUCAUACGUGAAAUCCCCCGGCUUAACCGGGGAACUGCGUCUGAUACUGGAUGGCUUGAGUUCGGGAGAGGGAUGCGGAAUUCCAGGUGUAGCGGUGAAAUGCGUAGAUAUCUGGAGGAACACCGGUGGCGAAGGCGGCAUCCUGGACCGAUACUGACGCUGAGGAGCGAAAGCGUGGGGAGCAAACAGG
rnacentral:rRNA from 1 species